ACUGCUUCCGGCCGGGCGCGGGGCGCGGUGCACCAUCGGCUCGCCGCCCAGCCCGGCAUGGAGGAGCGCGGCGGUGCCGAGCCCGCGCCGGGCUGCAGCGGCCUGGGCCCAGGCGGCGUUCGCGGCGGCGGCGCCCACUCAUGGGCCCCGGAGGACGCCUGGAUGGGCACCCACCCUAAGUAUUUAGAAAUGAUGGAAUUAGAUAUAGGAGAUGCCAGCCAAGUUUACAUAGCAUUCUUGGUUUACCUGGACCUCAUGGAGAGUAAAAGUUGGCAUGAAGUAAAUUGUGUGGGCUUACCAGAUCUACAGCUCAUCUGCCUUGUCGGUACUGAGAUAGAAGGAGAAGGAUUACAGACUGUGGUGCCUACACCCAUCAGUGCUUCCCUCAGCCAUAACAGGCAGCAGAGCCACCAUGAUGAACAAGAAGUUCUUCAUCUGGAGGACUGUGGCUCGGCUGGAGGGAGGCGUAUAUAAACAGCUAGUAGGGUAAACACAGAAGACAACAGAAGCCCAGAGAGGUAAACUGACUUACCUAAGGCCACACAGCUACUUAAUAACACAUUUGAGAACAGACUCAGUCUCCUGACUUCCAACUCCACUACUUACUGGGCUCCUGGCCUAGAAUCAGAUGGCACCAAGAAAAAUCCUGGAGAAAAUGACGCACCUCGUGCACGUCCCCUUCGAGAGGGCAAUUAUGGCUGGAGAAGAAUGGGCAGAGGAAUGUAUCAGUCAUCUAUCUCACAAGAAUGCUCUUGACCUAAAACAGCUCUUCUUUUCUCAAGAAAGCAGCCACACUGAGUCUGGCUCUCACAAGUCUGUCUUGCAAAUUCUCAUGCAAAAAUGUGCAUUUUGGCACCAGAUUAUCGGAUGGAAAAAUACAGGCAUUUUCCAAGCCCUAAACACAGAGUGUGCCAUCUAUUAGUUUGGAUUUCUUCCUUAACUAUCAUCAUACUAAUAUGUGGUGGUUUUUCCAAGAAGAAAUGAAUCCAAAUCUAUUUUGGACUCAGAAUCCCGGAAGCCUGGGUUUUAUCACUGGCUGAUCACAGAUGCACUGAAAAUGGAUUCUGAUUUUGGGGAAUCCAAACUGAGAUGGGCAUAUUUUGCUACCUGAAAUGGCCUGGACCUAUAUUUGCUCUUAAGGAGAGCAAGAAUUUGGAGUACAGAAUUUCUGGCAGCUGCUGCUGCCACCUAGAAAUUGUUAUUGAACAACAGGAAGCAAUAUGGCAAGGCUGAAACUGGCUUGUUUUCUCCGAAGACUUAAAGAAAUUUGGAGGCGUGAAUCUUCACAUUCCUCGUGGUGGAAGGCUUAAAGAGCAAGCCAGAUCCGAGCUGGCCUUGAAAACUCUGGCUUGUAUCUUAAAGGACUGCUUCAAGGUGAGGAUUUUGAAAAGUACGUUGGGCACUUGUAAGCUCCUCCCCCAAGCGAAGUCAGCAGGAGGCAUGUUGACGAUGGCUGUUUGCUCUCAACACACGGAGAGUUUGCAGAAAACUGGAGGUCAGACCCCUGCCUCUUCUUGGGCUCCGGAGGCCUCGUGCGGCCAGGACAGAUGCAGCGGGCCUAGCGACUAUUGCAAGCCCGCAUCGGACCGGGCAGAGCUAGGGGAACACAGCCUUGCGCCCUGCCGCUUGGGCCGGUGACGCGUGGGUGAGAGGACCCGUGUGCAGUGCGGAUGGCGCAGGGUCUGCUCUGAAGACGCACGGAGCAGUCUCCUUGAAUGCGAUGCCCACUGAGGCGGCGCAGGACCCACCGCCGCAUCAACUGCUGAUCUAUUUCAGUGGUGGCGUUUCCGCAGCAAUGGGAAAUUACUUAUUCUCAGAUCCUUAGCUGGUUUCCUUUUACAUAACUUCUGCGUCUUUCAAUUAUGUUCACUUUGGGGAAGCCCUAGGGCUCUCCUAAACCAUACAGGUGUGGAAUUUUAAUAAAACACGAUUUAUUAAAAUCCGAGCUCACAAAAUUGGUAAAUUAUGGAGAUGGAUUAUUUUUACCGCAAAAGGAUUUUGUGAUCAAAUUCAGGUUCCCUUUUAUUAAUCCCUAAUUCUCCUAGUGUGUAUAAUAACAUCACAUUGUGGAUUUCUUCAGAAGUAAUCCAUGUGCCCAGCUACAGUACAUCAUGGCAGGUAAAACCAUGUUAUUUGACUUCAACAGGACCUAGAUUUGAGACCAGGCUCUGACACUUACUUGCUGUGCGUUUGAAUAAAUUUAUUAUCCUGUCAGAAAUACAAAUUAAAAUUGUUGCAAAUGUUAAAUGAGAUAGCAUAGCUCGAACACUUAGCAUACAGCAAGAGCUCCCUAUUUUAGUGAGCAAUUCUUUGUCUUCUUAUUAGAGUAUUCAUAAAGGUCGGUUGACCCACAUCUGGUUUAAAUGCAACUUUUUUUGUAUCUUUUGUGUAAGUUAGAUCUACCUUUGUUGCUGUGACUUACUUCUGUGACCAUUCUGCCAGUUUCCUGUCCUGCCCAGUGGUUUGGGUUCUAUGGCCUUGGAUUUCCCCAAAGGCCAAAGUUUUUCCAUCACAGAAGUAGGUGGAAAAAGGGCCACUCCCAUAUCAUACUGCCUGUAGGCUGAGAGUCUGCAUAAUUAGAUGGGUUUCUCUCUAAAAUAAUGCUUCUCAAAGCAUAGCCAGUGAACCCCUUUAUCAUAAUCUUAGGAGUGUUUAUUAAAUUGCAGAUUCCUAGGGUCCUACCUCACAGCUUUUGAAAUAGAAUCUUCUGUGGAGGUUCUAGGGUAAGAAUCUUCAUUGUAAUAAGCACCUAGCUUAUUCUGAUGCUAACCAAAUAAAAUUGUAGAACUGCUCCAGUGCAGUCCUCAAGUUUGCCUGAUUAUGGAAUGGCCUAGGGAUAUUUAAUAAAAAUAGAGGUUCCUGGGCCCCACCCCACAAUUUCUAGGAAGGAACCUGAGGAUGUGUACUUUUAAAAUAUUUUUUAGUGCUUAUUUAUUUUUGAGAGAGACAGACAGACAGACAGACAGAGCUCAAGUAGGGGAGGGGCAGAGAGAGAGGGAGACACAGAAUCCUAAGUGGGCUCCAGGCUCCGAGCUGUCAGCACAGAGCCAGAUACCGGGCUCAAACCCACAAACCUUGAGAUUAUGACCUAAGCAAAGUCGGACGCUUAACCAACUGAGCCACCCAGGCGCCCAGAGGAUAUUUUUUAAUAAGUGCCCUCAGGUGAUUCUGAUGAUCUGGCAAAUGCAGGAAAUGCUGCUCUAGAAUGACUGGCCAGUGGCACCUUUGGUGGUAGUGGUGGUAGCAGGAAAGGGAUGGGGGCAGUGAUCAGGGACGGGAUGAUGGUUUGAAUGAUCCAGAGAGCGACUUAGGUCAAGAGCUGAGCCCCCGCUGUAAGGGUUCAUCUUUGCUUUUUACUUUUUUUUUUUUUAAUGUUUAUUCAUUCUUGAGAGAGAGACAGAGUGUAAGUGGGGGAGGGGCAGAGAGAGCGGGAGACACAGAACCCAAAGCAGGAUCCAGUCUCCGAGCUGUCAGCACAGAGCCCAAUGUGGCGCUUGAACUCACAAACUGCGAGAUCAUGACCUGAGCUGAAGUCGGACGCCCAAUCAACUGAGCCACGCAGGCGCCCCAAGAAUUGAACUCUUAACCAGUAACUGAGCCACCCAGGCACCCCUCCACAUCACCUUUGCUUUUCAGCAUCUCCCCCUGCAUGCCAGUCUGUGUCCAGCCGCUCCCACAGUGUUUCAGAAAGCAAAACCGAGUCACUUUGGGGAGAUGAAGCAAAUGCAAGAGUGAAUAGUGAAGCUCCUGGGCAGGAACCAGCAAUCUCAGAUGAACAACUGUGGGGCUGUGAGUAAAUGGAAAGAACAGCUGCUUAUCAUAACAGCCAUCCCUGGUUCUCUCUUACAGCCUGGCUGAAGUUCCCAUUGUCACCUUUUUCAGGAAUUGCCUCCUUUCCUUAAAAUGGUCUGACUAGGUUUGUAACUCAAAUGGCUUUCAUCAAAACAACACCCUGCACCAGGUGCUGGCCAUUCAGUGACCUGUGACUGAGCUGUGCGUUACCUACUGUCUUUCUGGACCUCUGUGCCAGCCUCUGCAACCAGAUUAGUUCUUUCAGAGCUUGCACUGGGUCCCAGCUUCUCCUCAGCAACAGCAGUCCAGGGAUGACAGGUGCCAUGCUUUCUGCACAAGUCUUCAUCUGUGGUGAGUAGAACAGUAAUGCUUCAACCUCAUAUUUUAUCGGCAGAUAUGGCUACCAGGUAAAAAAAAAAACCUACUUGUUACAAAGAUGCUCUCUUGGGAUACUCAUCCUCUCUCCAUGGUGCUCUCCUUACUCCCAGCAAAGCUGGACAAUACUUCCCUUAGUCUGCUGUCUACCCCGUGAUGGGAAGGCAGCCUACAAUCACAGGAGUCUUCUCUCUCUCCGUCUUCAACUGAUGUUCACAAGGUACCUGUUCUGUAAUUUUGCCCCCAGUUACUUUGGACCUGGGUCUACCACCUCAUGACAAUACUGAGUUUUUUCUUUCCCUCUGGUAGGGAUUAUCUGUGAUCCCAGUGGGUAAUAGAAUUUGCAAUGAGGAAGACUCUGAUACCACCAUAGUCCUUCAUCUAUCUUGUUAUAUGACAUUCUGGCCAGCAAACAAUGAUGAGGGCUUUAUUCUAGGGAGAUAUUGUAGUGUGUUCAACCAGAGAUAAGUAAGAUAAAGUCUAGGACAGAAAGAAAUUCAAAUGAGGAGUACAGCAACAUUUCAGUGGAUGACCUAUCCUAGGGUCAGCCUGGCAAUGAAAACAUAAGAGUCAGGAUAUUCAAAAUAUAAACAAUAUGGGAGUUCUUUAGUUGUGAUAUCUGUGUGUAUCUAUAUCUCUAUCUACAGAAAACUAAAAUAUUAAUCUGGAAAAAGUGUUGAUAAUGUGCAUUGUAUUAAGUGUUGUGUUGUCAACUAAUCUAGACCAAUUUGUUCAUUCACAACUGUUGGGUUCUUUUGGCAAAUAACGGUGACCUCUAAUGACUAAAGGUAGAGAGAGGAAGGGUCAAGGUCUCAUUCCCAAUAAACUUGUUACAAAGUGGUACAUUACAAGAAAAGCAAAUCUCAAACGAAAUCCUGCAACACAAAUGUGAACAUUUAUUAGCAAACAGACACGAAGAGUCAUGCAAUAUGCUCUUAUUGGCUCCCUCCCUUGGUCACUCUGUCAGUCCCCUUUCAUGACAGUUUCACUAGUGACAGAUACAGCAGUAUUCUCUAGGGAGGAUCAGUUAGCCAUCCAGUCAGAAUCAGACAAUAAGUCCUUUGGUAAGAGAUGGGACACAGGACCGAAUGGGACUUCUAGGCUGGUGCAUCAUCCCAAGAGAUAUCAGGCUGCUGCACAAGAGAGGUUCAUGCACAAGUGAGGGUGUCUGUACCUUGCGAGUCAGUUUACAUAUACUGAACACUAUUCCAAUUGCCUUUGAAAAACUAUUUCUAACUCCAAUUAUGCUAAUGAAUAAACCCUUGACUACAGACAGAGAUAGACAUCGUUGAAGCACUCCUAGUACUCUGGAGUAGACUCCUGAGUGGGCUUCUUAAAAUUUUAACUAAGCACCUCUGGACAGUUUAUCCCAGGUUAGGAAUGUUAAUUAGGUACUCCUAGCAUAUAGAAUAAAACCAACACACACAC